GGUUAAGCGACUAAGCGUACACGGUGGAUGCCCUGGCAGUCAGAGGCGAUGAAGGACGUGCUAAUCUGCGAUAAGCGUCGGUAAGGUGAUAUGAACCGUUAUAACCGGCGAUUUCCGAAUGGGGAAACCCAGUGUGAUUCGUCACACUAUCAUUAACUGAAUCCAUAGGUUAAUGAGGCGAACCGGGGGAACUGAAACAUCUAAGUACCCCGAGGAAAAGAAAUCAACCGAGAUUCCCCCAGUAGCGGCGAGCGAACGGGGAGCAGCCCAGAGCCUGAAUCAGUGUGUGUGUUAGUGGAA
rnacentral:rRNA from 1 species